rnacentral:rRNA from 1 species
AGGGAAUCUUCCGCAAUGGACGAAAGUCUGACGGAGCAACGCCGCGUGAGUGAUAAAGGUUUUCGGAUCGUAAAGCUCUGUUGCCAGGGAAGAACGUCUUGGAGAGUAACUGCUCUAAGAGUGACGGUACCUGAGAAGAAAGCCCCGGCUAACUACGUGCCAGCAGCCGCGGUAAUACGUAGGGGGCGAGCGUUGUCCGGAAUUAUCGGGCGUAAAGCGCGCGCAGGCGGCUGUUUAAGUCUGGUGUAUAAUCCUGGGGCUCAACUCCGGGUCGCACUGGAAACUGGACGGCUUGAGUGCAGAAGAGGAGAGUGGAAUUCCACGUGUAGCGGUGAAAUGCGUAGAGAUGUGGAGGAACACCAGUGGCGAAGGCGACUCUCUGGGCUGUAACUGACGCUGAGGCGCGAAAGCGUGGGGAGCAAAC